rnacentral:lncRNA from 1 species
AGAUCUUCCCUUCUAUCUAGUAUCUUCUUUACCACCCAAGAAGCUGUCUUGGGUGAUGGCAUUGUUUCUAAGUCCCUUUGCUUGAUGUAGUAGCUGUGCACCCAUCUAAUCCACAAGCAAUCCUUUUUGUUAGCCAAAUUCCAGAGGUGUUUGCUGAUGGCUGCCUUAUUCCAAACUGUCAUGUCUAUAAUGUUUAGACCUCCUGCAGAGAGGGGUCUGCAAACACUGUCCUAAGCCACUAAAGCCUUUCUGGAUAGCUUCACACUCCCAGUCCAAAGAAAUGUUCUACAAAUAGUUUCAAUAGCUUUCAACACUUUCUUAGGAAGGAUAAACACUUGAGCCCAAUAAGUUUGAAUGCCAAAUAUGACUGACUUGAUGAGCUGACAUCUGCCAGCAUAGGAGAGCAUUCUAGCAGACCAGCAAGUAACUUUAGCUGUGAUCUUCUCAAUAAUUGGGAGAUAAUGGCCAACAGAUAGCUUUUUAGAAUCAAGGGGGAUUCCCAGAUAUCUGAAAGGUAGUUUACCUUCAGUGAAUCCCAGUUCUUCCAGAAUCAGAACCUUAUCAUCCAGUGUAGUGCCAGCUAUAUAUAGUGCACUCUUUGACAGAUUAGCUUGCAACCCUGAUGCAUUUGAAAUUUAUUGGGAGAUAAUGGCCAACAGAUAGCUUUUUAGAAUCAAGGGGGAUUCCCAGAUAUCUGAAAGGUAGUUUACCUUCA